CCUACGGGUGGGCAGCAGUGAGGAAUAUUGGUCAAUGGCCGGGAGGCUGAACCAGCCAAGUCGCGUGAGGGAAGACGGCCCUACGGGUUGUAAACUUCUUUUGUCAGGGAGCAAGGUGCAGGUCGGGACCUGCUGUUAGAGUACCUGAAGAAAAAGCAUCGGCUAACCCGGUCCAAGCAGCCGCGGUAAUACGGGGGAUGCGAGCGUUAUCCGGAUUUAUUGGGUUUAAGGGGUGCGAGGGCGGAGGCACAAGUCAGCGGUAAAAUCGGGGGGCUCACCCCCGCACCGCCGUUGAAACUGGGUGCCUUGAGUACGCGAAGGGUAGGCGGAAUGCGUGGUGUAGCGGUGAAAUGCAUAGAUAUCACGCAGAACUCCGAUCGCGAAGGCAGCCUACCGGCGCGCAACUGACGCUCAUGCACGAAAGCGUGGGUAUCGAACAGGAUUAGAUACCCUUGUAGUC
rnacentral:rRNA from 1 species